rnacentral:rRNA from 1 species
AAUCAACGCUGGCGGCGUGCCUCAGACAUGCAAGUCGAACGAUUAAAGCUCUCUUCGGAGAGUGUAUAGAGUGGCGCACGGGUGAGUAACACGUAAGUAAUCUACCCUCGAGUGGGGAAUAACAACCGGAAACGGUUGCUAAUACCGCAUAAUGCAGCGGCACCGCAAGGUGACAGUUGUUAAAGAUUUAUCGCUUGAGGAGGAGCUUGCGGCAGAUUAGCUAGUUGGUAGGGUAACGGCUUACCAAGGCUACGAUCUGUAACCGGUCUAAGAGGACGGUCGGUCACACUGACACUGAAUAACGGGUCAGACUCCUACGGGAGGCAGCAGUCGGGAAUUUUGGGCGAAUGGGCGGAAAGCCUGACCCAGCAACGCCGCGUGAAGGAUGAAGUAUUUCGGUAUGUAAACUUCGAAAGAAUAGGAAGAAUUAAUGACGGUACUAUUUAUAAGGUCCGGCUAACUACGUG